CGGAAGCCGUCGGGCUGCGCGGGGUCGGGCUUUUAGUCCCAGGUGCAGCGCGGUGGGGCCGAGUGCGGCCGGCGCGAGUCAGCUUCGCCGGGCUCCAGCUCUGUACCCGGCGCGUGCUGGCUUGGGACAGGAUGGCUACGGGGCGUGGAGUGCUGGACCUGCCAACACCCAGGGUGCAUAUGGAACUGGCGUGGCCAGCUGGCAAGGUUAUGAAAACUACAAUUACUACGGCGCCCAGAACACCAGUGUCGCCACAGGCGCAACCUACAGCUACGGCCCAGCCUCGUGGGAGGCUGCCAAGGCCAAUGAUGGCGGCCUGGCAGCCGGGGCCCCUGCUAUGCACAUGGCCUCUUACGGCCCAGAGCCAUGCACCGACAAUUCCGACUCCCUCAUUGCCAAGAUCAACCAGCGUUUGGACAUGAUGUCCAAGGAAGGAGGCAGGGGCGGGAGCGGCGGCGGUGGGGAGGGCAUGCAGGACCGGGAGAGGUGAUUAUGGACCCAAUCCCUUCCCCUGGGACCCCACACAUCCCCACCUUUGUGCACAUGGGAGUGGGCA
rnacentral:sRNA from 1 species